UACCAGCUCUCCGAGUGGUGUGGAUGUUUAUUGGGCCUAAAGCAUCCGUAGCUGGCUGGACAAGUCCCCUGUUAAAUCCACCGAUUUAAUCGUUGGUGUGCGGGGGAUACUGUUCGGCUAGGGGACGGGAGAGGCCGACGGUAUUUUCGGGGUAGGGGUGAAAUCCUAUAAUCCCGGGAAGACCACCAGUGGCGAAGGCUGUCGGCUAGAACGCGCCCGACGGUGAGGGAUGAAAGCUGGGGGAGCGAACCGGAUUAGAUACCCGGGUAGUCCCAGCUGUAAACGAUGCAGGCUAGGUGUUUGGGCGGCUACGUGCCGCUCUAGUGCCGCAAGGAAGCUGUUAAGCCUGCCGCCUGGGGAGUACGGCCGCAAGGCUGAAACUUAAAGGAAUUGGCGGGGGAGCACCACAAGGGGUGAAGCUUGCGGUUU
rnacentral:rRNA from 1 species